AAGUGACGAUAUCUCUCUUGAUAUUGAUCCGUUUUUAGAGAUUUUUAUAUUGUUAGAAAGCUUAUUCGAUUUCCCAUAAGUUUUAUGAAGAAACGUUUUGUUAAUUCGAAGUCAUACUAUGUCAAAAAGUUAGUUUUAUUCAAUAUCAUGUGAUUUGUUUCUUGAAUCUUGUUCUUGCAAAACUGUUUUGGUAAAAUUGCAAUAUCUCCUUGAAUAUAAUUCCAAUUUCAAAUAUUUUGGUAUCAUUGGAAAGGGAAUUUAAUUUCCUAAAACUUUGAUGAAGAUGUUAUCUUCUAGUUCUGAACCAUUCAAUGUCAAAAGUUUAUAUUUUUACUAAGUUGUGUAAUUCGUUACUCCAUAUUCCUUCUCAGAAAUAGUUUCAGUAAAACAAUCAUAACUCCCUCAGUUUUAAGCCAUUUUUAAUGAUCCUUAUAUCAUUGGAAAGAUAAUAAAAUUUCCUAUAAUUUUUAUGAAGACAACUUUCACUGAAUUAGUAUAGUUGUUGGUCAAAAAUAGUGAUCUUUCUGCUGUACUGUAAGAGUACGAAUUUUAAUGUUAGGGCCUUGAACCAUGUGUUGUUAUAGGUAGUAAUGACGAGAUAACAAGUCUUAAGCAGCGGGAUUUGAGGAUCUUGUCCUCAACAAGAAAAUUUAUUGAGGUGCUUGGAGUAGCAAGAAGGUGUUCUUAACAACUGAGGUAAAGACAAAACUAAACAGUGAGGAUGGCGAGCUCGAGGCGUGGAUUACAUGUUAGGGGAUUGUCACGAUGUUUUGGUUUAAAAAUAUUUCAUUUAAGAUUAUGAUUCAAAUAGUUUUUGUAAGGCUUUAUACUUUAAAGUUAUUAAUAAAUAAAUGUUUUGUUUUAAAAAUAAUGAGAUCUCAUGCUUAGUUAUUUUUUUUUAUUAAAGAAGUCUUUUAUUGUCUUUAUCUUAAAUGGUUUUAAACGGACUAGCUAGUGUGACGUCUCGGGAAAUCAGGGCGUUUCAAUAUGGUAUCAGAGCAAUACAGUCCUAAAGGAUGUGGUUGACCCUAACAUGUAAAGUUCAUUGCCACGAGACGAGCUCGACUCACUGUACUGUAAGUUUUAGUUAAUCUGUUCAUGUUAGUCUUACAUAUUUUAUGUUGCGUUACAUCUUUAGUGUAACUAGAAGUUUUCUUUGCGUUUAGAAGAAUAUGUCUUAAAAUUUUAUGGGUAGGAUUCGAUCUAUGAGAUAUUUUUGGAAAAAAAUAAUUCAAGGUAUUGCUAUAUUACGUAAUUUAAGUUUGAUUUUUGAUAAGUUGUACUUAUUUUCAUAAAUAAGGAGCAUAAGAAGAGUGUUUUUCAAAAUGAAAUUGUGUUAUAAGCAGAUUGGAAUAGAGUAUGUUAGGAAAAAAAAAAUUAGUUGCUAUAUUAGUAUUUCUAACGAGAGUGUAUGUUUCAGGUUUAAUAAAUUAGACAUAUAUAACUAUUGGUACGUUCUUAAGUUUGUUUUUUUUAAGUGUUAAUGGAUAGAUAAUUUUAAGCUCUACUCUUUUAUUAGAAAUAAUUAAGUUGAAUUUUGGUUAAGGGUGAAAUCUAAUCAUUAAGGUUAUAAUAGAAGAAUAGAUUGUGACAGUCAGUAGCCUCGUGAUUCGUAAGGAAAUUAGAUAGUUUUGUUUGUGUUUAUUUGCAUAAAUUUAAACUCUUUAUGUAUUGGAAUAUGGUUUAUGCUUUGUUAUUAUGAAUAUGUAUGUGGUACUGAGAAUGUGUGGUAUGGACACAAUAUGAGUUUAUGAAUUGAUAUAUUGAUUAGGGUUGUUUUGACUUGUAUAUGUUGUAUGUUGCAUUCAUAUAUUGUGUGUUGUAUGCUGCAAGUUGUAUGCUAACGUCUCAGGUAAAGUGAGGGACCAUGGUGGGGUAUGAUACGGGGUAAGGCCGUUGAAUGUAGAGAUACCCUACCCUGCAUUUUUCUGAGUCGUGUUUGAAAUUAUUAUGGUGGGGUAUGAUACGGGAUAAGGCCGUUGAAUGUAGAGAUACCCUACCCUACAUUUGUCUGAUUCGUGUAUGACAUUGUUAUAGUGGGGUAUGAUACAGUGAUGUUACUGUUGAAUAUAGAGAUACCCUAUCCUAUAACAAUGGUAGGGCUACAUAGGCCCAGGUUAUUAUAUGGGCAGAUUAGGCCCAGGAUAUUGUAAGGCCAGGCUAGGCCCAAGUUAUGUAAGUAAUGGCUAUGAUAUGCCAAUGUUAUGGUAAAGACAUGAUAUGGUUGAAAUAAUUUUUAUAUGUUAUUGCUAUGAUUGUGCUAUGAGUAUGACGUUAGGGUUGUGAUCCCUACAUAUAUGUAAUGGUUUCGUUUAGUACAAAUAAAUGGUAUAUGAUUAAGCGAGUAAAGAAAAAUAUAUAUGAGAAUUGGAUUAAGCGAUUUUCGUUCUCGAGUUAUUCUUAGAAAGAGUGAUUUUGAUAGUAAAUUUUAUUCAUAUUUCAUUAGUUGGAUGGAUUAGUAAAUGUUUCUUUUAUAGUGAUAUGCAUGUAGCUCAUUCCUGAGAGUAUGUUAACUUGUAUGCUUCUAAGCCUAUAUAUUGGCUAGCUCGCAUGUGUAAGAAGACCUUUAACGAUCUUUAGCUUACAUGUAGUUCAUGUAAUUUAUAGAAGACAUGUGGUCUGUUUGAAUGACAUCGGUUUGUUGAUGAUAUAUUGGAUCGUUAUGUGUAGGGCAACAUUCUUAAUAAUUAUGCUACGUAACUAUAAUAACGGAAUUGUAGCUUUAUGGAGGAAA